CCGGCGACGCGAGCGCGGGGACGGGCGCGCUUUGGAAGGCGGGGCUACGGCGGGGGCGGGAGCGUGCGUCAGGGGGCGGUGCCCGGCCCGCGCGGACACGCCCUACCUCGCUUUGUGAGGCCGUUCCCCCUGCCUGGGACGGCAGGGGCACGCCCCCGAGGCCCGUCCCCGCCCCCUGGCCCCACCCGGUAUUGUGACGUGACAGGAGGGGGCGUGGCCUUGUGGGCCCCGCCCCUACACCUGCCCUGCUCCUCCGCGGCGAGUGGGGCUUUCUAAGAGCGGCUCCGCGGGAGGACAGGGAGCUGGAUCGGAAGUGGAGCAGCCGGGGCCGGAACCAGUGCCCAUGUGAGCUUUACCUGCUGUGCCACAGCCGGGGCCCGUCAGCUGCCCUGGCCCCUCUGCCUCCCCCCAGUGGAGGCUGCAGAAAAACAGCCAAACCCAGGUCCCAGGGAGCUGUGAAUUUAAGAUCAAGGUCAUGGUGAAAGCCGGAGCCCUUGUCGGCUGCUUGCUUAUCUCAGCCAACAGCACAGCUUCAGAAAGAAACUGGAAUCGAAAGCAGGAACUCAGGCAAGCUGUUUGCGGGUCCCGAGUUUGUGGCGCCCAGGGCGGGGUCGACAAAUGAAGCAUGCCCAUUUCCCGGACGGUGAUGCGCCCUUAGAGGGGAAGGAAACUCUAGCACCUGCUAGCAGGCAGACGGGCCGCGCGGGGGAAAUAAACCGGUCACAAAAGGGCGCAUUGUGCGGAACGCUGUGUACAGAAAAUAUCCAGGACUGUGGACCCAGAGAGACAGAACACAGCAUGGCAGGUGCCAGGGCCUGGGCAGAAGCUGGUGGCCUUGAUUUGAUUGAUUUGAAAGGGACAGUGAGAGUGAGAGUGAGAGAGAGAGAGAGAGAGA